UAACAACCUGGAAACAAGAUGCUAAUAACCGGAUAACAAACAGAUGAUGCCUAUCAACUGUUUAAAAGAAUGGUUCUGCUAUCACUCUUGGAUGGACCUGCGGUGCAUUAGCUAGUUGGUAGGGUAACGGCCUACCAAGGCGAUGAUGCAUAGCCGAGUUGAGAGACUGAUCGGCCACAUUGGGACUGAGACACGGCCCAAACUCCUACGGGGAGGCAGCAGUU
rnacentral:rRNA from 1 species